GCAACUGUUGGCUUACCGGAUUCAGGAUCAUUUCUUGAACGCAGGGCUCUUGGUGUAGACUCAGUAAUUAUUGAAGACAGCAAAGAGGCCAAAAAUAUCACCAACUUAUCAUGGGGUUAUCAGGUUGGAUUAUUGGGGGAGAAGUUACAAAUUUACUCAUUAGAAGAAUCAAAGAGUGCUUAUUGGAGCAGCUUAGGCUCUUCUCAACCGCUCACAUGGUACAAG
rnacentral:misc_RNA from 1 species